AUUGAACGCUGGCGGCAGGCCUAACACAUGCAAGUCGAGCGCGCGGCGGAGGGGUGAGUAAUAUAUGGGGGCUGCCCGAUAGAGGGGGAUAACAACUGGAGACGGUAGCUAAUACAGCAUACUAUCGGAUAAUCCACAUGGGAUUAGCUAGUAGGUGAGGUAAUGGCUCACCUAGGCGACGAGCCCUAGCUGGUCUGAGAGGAUGAUCAGCCACACUGGGACUGAGACACGGCCCAGACUCCUACGGAGGCAGCAGUGGGGAAGAUGGCACAAUGGGCGCAAGCCUGAUGCAGCCAUGCCGCGUGUAUGAAGAAGGCCCUAGGGUUGUAAAGCACUUUCAGUCGGGAGGCGUUACCGACAGAAGAAGCACCGGCUAACUCCGUGCCAGCAGCCGCGGUAAUAC
rnacentral:rRNA from 1 species